UACGGGGGGAGCAAGCGUUGUUCGGAUUUACUGGGCGUAAAGGGCGCGUAGGCGGCGUGACAAGUCACUUGUGAAAUCUCCGGGCUUAACUCGGAACGGUCAAGUGAUACUGUCGGACUAGAGUACAGAAGGGGCAACUGGAAUUCUCGGUGUAGCGGUGAAAUGCGUAGAUAUCGAGAGGAACACCUGCGGCGAAGGCGGGUUGCUGGGCUGACACUGACGCUGAGGCGCGAAAGCUAGGGGAGCAAACGGG
rnacentral:rRNA from 1 species